AAGCGGGUUCUGGACUGGCUGAUCGGGUGAAGACACGCUGAGACUGAGACUAGAGUCCGAUGGCCGUGGCACAGGGAAGUGAUCACCGGCAGCACAGAGGUCUACAACGCAGACAGACAAUGUUACCAUAAGGACAUCCAAGCAUCGAGGUUUUGCUUUCAUUGGUGUUGAUGAAAACACGACAUGCCAGAUGCCACAGAGCCACCAGCGGUUGAGACAUUGUACCACUGAGCUUCCCAACACCACUCAGAGUGGAAUGUGAGGAAAUGUGCCUCCAUCCUGUAUGAAGAGAGUCUGUGGCUGCUGACACAAUGACGCAACCCCUCAUUGAGCUGGAGGUGUGCACGGAUGCCUGUGCACAGAGCUCACAACUCAUGGAGAGAUCAACCAGAGACAAUGGUGAAGAGACAGAGAGUUUAUUGACACACAAAGGUAAUAUGAGUGGAUGAGAGGGGUUAGUGAUACCGUCCCUUAUUUAGAUGAUGGCAGAAGAGUUCUGGAGUUGAACAGAGGAACACGGGAACGGGAACCGGAGCGACACACACGGGGAACUGGAGAUUACUGGAGUCGGGUUCGGGGUUCAGGGUAGCGGUAGUCGGGACGAAGAGUCGUGGGUGAGUCCGUGGAGUAUUGGAGGCAGAAGUAGAAGUACUGUCCUUCAUACUAACGUGACCGGACACAGACUGAGGUGAGGAGUUGGAAUUUAUGGAGGAGUAGAGUGGCUGAUUACGUUCAGGUGUGUGAUGGGUGACAGGUGCUGGGAAUCAGUGCUCAGGUGAAGGAAUGCGGUGUGUGUGGUGUGGUGGAGCCUGGCGUGUCUGUGACAGAUUAUUGUGCAUAUUGAUAUUAAACUUAGUAUGUGUAGUAGAUAUGUACCAUAACAGAAAUCAACUGACUUAGAGCAACAAUUUAAUAAAUGACUUUACGGCACAUUAAAUUUAGCAGAUAAAAUAUUUUAGGAAUUAUCAAUACAGGUGAACCAAGGUCAAGGUGAGCUAAAAUGUCCUAAGACAAAUGUGCAUACUGAGAUGAGCUAGUAGGCUUUCAGUAAUAAGCAUCAGUAAAUAAAAAUAGUUGACAUGAUAACACACAGUGUAGAAAUAGUAGCAUUACUUUUAUAUGUAAUGUGUAGUUUAAAGAGCCAGUGCUGCAGUCCAUAUCAGUACUGGAGGCUGGGCAGGAAAGGAAGAGCACAGAUGGUAAAGUUAAACACUGAUAUGGCUGCAAGUGUUAUUUUCAAUAACAAAAUAUAACUAUUCAAAUCUAUCAGCCAUCGCAUAAAUUAUGACAGUCUUGGCCAGGUGAUGGGCUUAACAAAACAAAGAAAUCCUGUAAAAGUCGACUACAACAAUGGAGAAAAUGUCAGGCAUGGACACUUCACCGUUGUUGGAGUUGGCCUUUAAGACACUUAAAGUGCAGUACUGUGUAAUAAUACUGUUCACUGUAGGGACGACAUGAAGUAAAUCACACAAAAAUAGCCCAGGAGUGCCAAACCUUAUGUGAUGGUGAUGUACAAAGCUGCCACACACUUACACAGUGAAGAAAUGUAGCCACAACACCGUUCACCAACCUGCGGGCCUUGUCCGUCUUCCCCGGACUGGCAGCAGCUGUUCACCUGGCUGAGGCAGGUAACGCAGUGUGGAGGGCGGGGAUGCCAUGCAGGUGAUGCAGGUCUGAGCUGGAUGCUGGUGACCUCCCCAGGUCAUUCAACUGCAGUGGAUGAGGAGGACAUCUGGUACUGCUCGUACUGGUAGGGACUGCUCAGAGAAGGUUCUUCACCUCAGAACCACCCAGAUAUCAUCCACACCAAGGUUGGUCCUCACGGUCUCCACAGCUCUCUCAGCCCCACGCUGGACUGCUGAUCCAGUCUUUGGCUGUGGAUGGAAGAUUCAUUGCAGUAGUGAGUGAUGUACACCAUAUGUGUCCCCUGUUGGUUCUCCUCCUGUGUUUGUCUGUGUGUGUGUGUGUGUGUGUGUGUGUGUGUGUGUGCUGGCGGGGCGUGGCCUCUGAGGAACCUCCAAUCAGGAACUGACACACCUGCUACUCACCUGCUGUUACCCACCAGUCUUCCCCAGGCUCACCUCGUCUACCGACACCGGUCUCCCCCAGCAUCCGAUUACCACAGAUUCGCUCCACCUCAGCCUGCUGUCCUCGCACCACCUGCCGGCUCUCACCAGUCACUCAGCAUUUCCCUCCGCACACCUGGUGUCUCUCCGUAUUCACAGUAAACUGAAACUAAUCCCUCUAUCCCUCUGUGUCCGUCGGGCUUUUGGGUCCAGAUUCUCCAUGUACUACAACAAUAUGUUGAUAUGACUGCAGUAUUCUCUAUCUCCAGCGUUAGAAAUACUGAAUAGAAUUAUAUCAUCCAAAACAGUCUGCUGUAGUGCCUUAUGAUAAUCACAGAGAAAAAAAUAGUACUCACUUGUGUGAUAUUGUGUGGGUAGAUAAACACAAACUGCCCACAAUGGCCUUACUGUCCUAGACUAAUGUCUGAACUCAAAUAUGAAUUAACAUUUGAAUAUUGUCCACUGUACAGCGGGGUACGACUUUGACACAUACAUAUGUGGAAAAUUAUAACGCUAUUGUGAAAUUACAUUUUCAUUUUCAAGUUUACAUUAUCAUUUGAAUAUAGUCCAGUAUACACUCCCAUAGUGGGGUGGAUUAUUCCAUUAAAGAAUCUCUAAACUAAGUACAAUAUACCAAUUUAGCUACCUAUAUAUGUAAUGAUAAAGACCAACUUACCUUUAAAAAAAAUCUAAGUUUGAGCAGAAAUCCUAUAAUUUAUAAUGUUUCUAAUAAUGUUUCGAGCAUCUGAGCAGCCAGACACAUGAUUCGUGAUUUCGAGGUUGAGCUACAUCACCUAUUGACAGUAAGAUAUCGCCACAACUGUUGGCUAGAUUGACAUGACAUGUACGGUGAACUUAUUUUUAAUUUGCUCUUUAUUUAGUCAUAACAAGGUGAUACAUAAAUUAUGCAUUCAGUGAUCGCCAUAGCCAUGCUUUUUGAAACAACAUGGGUGUAAAAAUGGAAGAAAAUUAAAUAAACUUGAAAAAGGAAAAUACAUAAUAAGAAUGAUGCAAGUAGAAAAAAUAAAAGGCACUUUCCAGUGGCCUGGUGGUUAAGAUGCGUGCCAUGUUUCUGCAGCAUCCGUGGCUCGACCCUCUCUCACUCCCCACGUUUCCUGUCUCAGUCUUGUCACUAUCUGAUAUAGGCAAAAUGCUAACAAUAAAUAAAAUAAGUGCCUAAUGUAUAAACAAAACCCAUUAAGUUGAAUCAGAACUUUGGGGUUAACCGUAAUGAUAUUCGAAACCAACCCUGCAAUACCAAUAAGAACAUCUUGUAACAAUAUACAGCCGGUGAUAGCAAAUACAAGUAUAAAUGCAUACAGUAUAUAAUCAUCAAAGGUCAACGGUAACUCUGUUAAAAAGAUUAUCUACUGGCAGGAAUAGCAUGAAAUCUACUGAGUAUAUUCAUGAUGGCAGAACCCUGUCGAAUCCAGAGAUUCCUUUGACCUUUCCUGUGUGACAGCUUUAAAAUCUAAUCAUCACUUAUUUGUUCUGUCCAACAACUUCUUAUUGUGAGGAGCAGUGAACAAUCCAGCCUCAAGGGGGUGCCGAGCCUGGCUUUAAACUUUUAGUCUUGCGUCCUCAUAAUAUAAUAAACAAAAUGAAUUCACAUUUGACAGGCUUCCAAACAUGUUUUUUUUUAUAUGCCAUAAACCUACACGACUACUUAUCUAUGAGAUAAUAACUUGUUCACAUAUACAGUAUUUUUCCAUGAUAAUGCCAACUGUGCAGACUGUGUGUUAUCAGUCAUGACCUGUGAUCGCCCACUCGCUCAUGGACGUGAGGUGGACAGGUCUUUUUUUCUACUUAUAUGCUUGUAACCUUGUCUAAUUUAUUGCUUUUAUGCAAAUCAGGUUUAAAUGAAGUUCAGCCAACCUCGUGGUUCAGCAGUAAUAUUCCAGUAAAAUAAACACCACUGAAUACAGAGGUGAGCUGAUGCGAGGUAGCCCACGUGAUGACGCAGAAUGCCUGAGCUUUUACAGUGCAGAGGCUAAAUAGCUGCUCUGUGGGAUUGGAUGGCUGUUCAUUUGUGAGAUCACAGCAAUGUGUGAAGAAGGAGAUCUCACUUUUAACCUCCUCUGACAAGAUGAAAGUAUCCAUCCCACCCCCCUUCCUCUCCCAUCCCAAUAUAUAUGAUAAGUAAUGAAUGGAAAGUAUUUAGGAGUAAGUGCCUUUAUGGACAACAUAAAAAAUAACAAAUAUGAAAAAGAAGAGGAAUGGAAGGUAUCGUAUGAAUAUUCUCAUCAGGAUUUUAGAUUUCAUUGAAAAUCAAACAAAUGUCAUAAAAAAUAACAAUACAAAGUAAUGUGCAGAAGUAAGUAAAACGGGUUUAUUCAUUACCUCUAAUUAUGAGUGAAGAGGCUGUGAUUUGAUAAUGACCUGUUGAAUCACAGCCUGAGGGUGGAGCUUAUCAUCACUGACAUGAUCUGAUGGCAACCAUGACAGACAGCCUUUGGCAUUAAAAGAGUUUCGUGUGGGCUAACUGAGGGACACUGCUACUGCCUGUACAUUUAGUUACAUUUGUGACUGACUGCAGUUUUAAGGGAUGGAUUAUGCUGCAGGAGGCUGUGCAAAAAGACAUUUAAAGG